rnacentral:lncRNA from 1 species
CAUAGACAGGUACAAUGUCUACCAGCAACAAGGGUGGUAGCAGCGGUGACAACGGACAACAAAACCGGCAACAACAUUGCAGUAUCCUGCAUAGAUAGGUUUUUAUUACUGCAAAAUUGAUCCCGGCAGCGCUACCGGUAGUUGCGGUAGAUAGGAUUGUACAUGCAGGUCUCUGCAUAUUGCACCAGGUCUCUGGGCGCAGGCAGACGGGUCGCCAAACCUGCAGAGGAAAGUUUGAGACUUUGGAGGCGAAUGGAAAGAUUUGGAGGUCUACUCAGGGAAACGGAAGCAGAACAGAAAACUUUGGAAAUGUAUCUACAGAAGGAAAGGAGGGUGAAGCGUACCGAGCUCAUAGGCUUUUGCAGCCACGGCGGCAGCAAUGUGAGCGGAGAUCUUUCUGAUGCUGCUGAAGGGCGGGAAGAUCGAUCCCUUCUCAAAGUUCUCCUGAUUGGCCUGAUCAGCUAGUGCUUCCGCUGUUUAAAUGAUUACAGCCAUGAGAUUGCUUCACAUCAAACCCUCCCUAGUUUCCCAUUUGGAUACAUAAUUAACAUUUACAUAUGUUCAUUGACUCCAUUAAGAAGGUACUUACAGGCAGCAAGAAGCAUGUCCUCAUGGACACGGGUGGCUCCAGCCAUAAUCAGACCAAGGCCAAGGCCAGGGAAAAUGUAAGCAUUGUUUGCCUGUCAUGA